rnacentral:misc_RNA from 1 species
AUAUUUCUUUCUUUUGCUGUGAAGUUCUGUGGAUGCGUUUGACAGUCUUGUAGAUGCUUGCAGUUCAGGCCCUUCCAGAAGAGCCGUCACACCAGUUUCGUAUCCUCCAAAAAUGUGUUAUAUUUGAAGGAGAUCUGACUUGGGGUGAGGUGAUAUUUUUAGAGGAUCUGGGCAACAUAGCCUCCAAUUCAGAAGUUAUAAUCUGAGAGAUGCUGUUGCCUCAGAAAUACAAAAUUAAUCUUUGUAGGCAUG